CACAAAAUGCAAUAAAAUUGGAAUGCACUUUUGAUCUCUGCUGAAGAGUGGGAAGUGAACCUCACUCAAGUGGUGUAGAAAUGACUACUCUUCUCUGUUACUGUAGUUAAGUAGCAAAUGUAGGGUAGCUGCCCUAACAUUAACAGCAGAGAAAAGCAGAACAGCUCAAAAGAAUUAAGAGUGGGAGUGGGAGAAACAAAGCAAAGUUACUGUUUGGAAUACGUGCUGGCUGGAGCUAUAGUAGAAAGGGGUAACUUGGAAAAGGGGUAGCCUCCACAAAAGCCAUGAUGACAGAUGACUGAUUGAAGAAUGGAAUGGUCAAGCCCUCUUAAAUGUGCCGGGAUAACUAAAUAGAAAUGCAGUUAUUGGUGUUUUUUUAUAGUUGUCAAUCUAUGUAGUCACAGAAUGGCUUUAUGUCUGCAUAGAUUAUCUACAGACAUUUUCGAGGCUCCCAAAUUGGACAGAUUGCAUUAGGAAAUGGGGAAAUGCUUUCCCAGUCAAUUCCUUCUGCUAUCAACAAAAAAAUUAAACUAAUAGUUGAAAGUCAGCUCCAGAAAUAUGAAGGCAACACUUCUCUGACAGGCAUAUUGCUGAGGAAAUGUCUGAAAACAUAUCAGCCCCUUAAGUUGAAUGAAUCGUGAUGCUCACAGAAAGAGGCUAGUUUUCAACUGGUAACACAAAUCACUUAGCACUUAUCAUACUUAGGACUUGCAGAAGGUGAGGGGGUGUCUCCUUAGCAAAGCAUAUAAUCCCCUUUGUUUUAAAAGAUGUUUUGUUUUACAAAUCUCAUCAGAUGCUUUAGGUUUUCCCACUCUAUCUGCAUUCUGUACCAUCACACAUGCGAGUGCUGUCCCCACCCACACUACAUUCUUUUUGAAAAUAAAAACAGGAAAAACUUCAAUAUCAAAAGCCAAGAUUACUAUGGACCUCAUCCCAUUGGGGGGGAUUUUUAGCCCCCUUUGUCUUUCCCAUGCCUUUCUUCCCUUCAUUAUACCAGCAUAACUGUAAAACACUUUGCCAUGAUCCCCAUUUGGCUUUGCUUCCCUCCAUUAUACUAGUGUUAUGUUAAAAAGCUAGCAAUAGCACAAUUUCUAUGAAUGAGAAGAUGCAGCAAAUGAUUACAUUGAUUUAUUUAAAAAAUGAAUCCACAUCACUGAAAUGAUUCAACGUGGGUGAAUCUGACAGAUCCCAUUCCAUAUGCUUUAAUCACUUUUUCUCAUUUCCAUGCGCAUUGGGAGCUCAAAAGAUGGUUUCUCCCCAUCUCCUGUCCACCCCCCACUCCACACCCCUUCUCUACUACAUUUCAGGAAUAAAGUGCAACGGAUGACAACCAGAAGUAUUUUAUGUCAUAUGAAGGACUCAGUGGCUCUUCGUCUCUGAAAUGUUUUAAAAGUGUAUGGAGAUGUAAGAGGACUUGUGUCUGGUGAAGUCCUUAUAGAAAUAAAAGAAGGGUCUUCAUAAACAUGUACAGUAGAGUCUCACUUAUCCAACACUCGCUUAUCCAACGUUCUGGAUUAUCCAACGCAUUUUUGUAGUCAAUGUUUUCAAUACAUCAUGAUAUUUUGGUGCUAAAUUCGUAAAUACAGUAAUUACUACAUAGCAUUACUGAGUAUUGAACUACUUUUUCUGUCAAUUUUUUUGUUAAACAUGAUGUUUUGGUGCUUAAUUUGUAAAAUCAUAACCUCAUUUGAUGUGUAAUAGGCUUUUCCUUAAUCCCUCCUUAUUAUCCAACAUAUUCGCUUAUCCAAUGUUCUGCCGGCCCAUUUAUGUUGGAUAAGUGAGACUCUACUGUAUCUCCCUUUAUGAUAAUGCUUUUUUUAUAUUUCAGAAUUCUGUAGCUUUAUGAAGAUGGAGAGCUAGUUGUGCAGAAUCAAAAGUGUACAUUCUUCUGGUGUAGGCUUCCAGAGAUGGAAGCAACAAAGAUCUUGACAUCCUGUCACCUAACGUCUCUCAAUAGUCUUGACUAAAGAAGACCCAAUGGAUGAACUGAAUUUACCUAUGUUUUCAUUCAACAGUUGAUUGGAUGGGUGUAUUCUAAUUAAGUCAGUUCAUCACUGUUUAGAGCAAGAUGACAUGUUGAAUAGACCUGGGAAGAUAACAGAGAUCUGGGACAUGUUCCUGAUACAGAAAUGAGAGGAAGGUUCCUACACAGGCAAACCCUCUCUCCUCACCCUCACAAGAGGUUCUCCGGUCACCAAGGAAACUGGGCAUGCUUUUUCAUCCUGGUGAGACGCAUAGGCCUCUGAUGCCCACUGGUCUGUAUAGUCUUGGGGGGUAUAGAGGCCACAGUCCACAAAACUGCUGUUUUUCUCAAAUGGCUCACAAAUGCCAUCUCCAUCAUGGACAUAGCACAUACUUGGUUCACCUGCAAGAUAAAAUAAAUGUGGGAUUGUGAACCCUGUACCAGCAAACUGAAUUUCAUUCAAAACAUUUUGAUCCAAGUAUAGUUUAGAUCCAAUGCUGUAACAAUACAGAUUGGAACCAAUAUAUCAAAUAUAUUUCACUGGUGAAAGCUGGGACACAUGUGACCAAAUAACAUUAGAUGGUGGUCAAAAGUUUGUAGCCUUCCACCUAUCACUUCAAAGACUCCUACCUAGCAUCCUGAAUGCCACUAAUUUAUUAUUAGGGCUGCUGCUAAUUAGAUAUCCCAUGGCAUGGUCUGCACCACACUACAUCAUACUAUCACAUUUCUAAAUACUUACUAAACAAACUAUGACAAUCAUCUGAUUUUCUGUUUAUUAAUGGUUUAGGAGAAAGUCAUAUUCCUUCCUAUAGUGCUAGGGUUCACAGUCCCAUCACAUUUGUUAUCAAGAGUGGCAGUGAGUAAUUUUCAUAUCAGUGGGAUAUAGUUAAUCUAUUCUGGGUUUUAGUCCAAAUUUCCUUAUCUCACUAAUAUGGGGGCAACAGAUGGCUACUAUUGCCAUCUACUGGCUUCAUCACAAUGAUACUGAUUCAGAGGUGAAAUCUAAACAUAGAAAAUAACCGUGCUUAAAACUAAUCAGUCCAAAUGAAGCACUUCCCCUGUGCUACCCCACAAUUAUCAAACUUUUCCUUGCUACCAUACUGCUUUUUGUGUGAUAUUCAUUACGAAGUUCAACAAAGUUUGAAAUGUUGCAUUCAAAAAUAUAUACACAAAUACAACAAGUUUGUGACAUAAUCUGGCUAAGAUAAGUAACAGGCAUUCAAAAAGAGAGCAUGUGAUAGCUUUUCUGGUCUCACCAACACAAUGGAAUCCUUUUUCUUUUUUACAAGUUUUAGAACAACCGUCACCAUCUAACAGGUCUCCGUCAUCACAUUCUUCUGUAAGAGCCCUAGGGAGACAACAAGAACAAAAAGAAUGCCAACAAUUCUUGGUAUUUUUUAUAUAGCACAAUUGAAAAAGAGGAAAAGCUCAGCAUACGUCUGGGGAAGCAAAACCUGGCAGCCUCCAUGGCUAUUAUUUUCAGGUGAGAGUUUCCUGAAAAGUCCUUUACCUUUUCUGGUCCCCAAGUGAGAUGAAAAUAAAAAGAACAAGAGAAUGCUGAUCUGCUUUGCCAGUGGGUAAAUUAAUCUAAGCCUGAAUACACUUAAUGCCUGCACCAUGAAUCAGUUGAAAAUCAGAAUACUGGAAAAAAUUGUUAUGAGACUAUUUCAUUAUCUGAUGGCCUUAAAGCCCAAUGACUUUUUGCAAUGAUUAAAAUGAGUCAAGGCAGCUCCUAUGCUCUAGAACUACAAAAUAAUUUGAUAUAGAAAUGAUAAAUGUUGUGAUAAAUAAAAUAAACUGAACUAAUGGUUAGCCAAAAACUUGUAGGCUGUAUACAUUAAUAUUGUCCAUUAUUUAAAAUAUCAAAACUCUAAACCGAGGCCAAAUUCCAUUCUGCUCAAGCAAAAAGUUCAGAUAAGGUUAUGUGUUCUGGUUAUCAUAGCAAUUUUCUGGGAGAACUUCUUCACCAGAAAAGAAAUUAAAAUGUUUCUGCAUUUCUUUGCUAUAGGCUCAUUUUGAACACGUUCUUCUAUGAAAACAGAGAUUGAUAAAAGCAUAUGGAGAACUAUAUGAGGAAGUACUGGCUAGUUUUCAAGGAGACAAUCUUCUCCAGUUUGAAUUUGAAGCUGAGCUGGCGAAGAAUUCAGAGACUUAACAAUUUCAGCUCUCCUUUGUGGCGAACAGAGAACUCACUUCUCUAAUCCUUUGUUUCAAAUGUUUUAAGUAUUCUCUCUGCUACAACCAAAACUCCAACUUCCCAUCAACAAUACAAGAAUAAUAAUGCUGAAAGGGUUUGCCAAAGGUGAUAAUCGCAGAAACUUGUAAAGCAAAGUGAGCCUUAUCAGGCAGCAUUAGUUCCAAACAAGGAGUUUCCAAAAGCCAAGAGACUGAGAAUCCACAAACAGGAGCUAGUUUUUACUCUGUUUUAACAAGAAACAGAGAAAAGGCAGAACCACUCAAUACAGGGUGUUUGAAAAAGAACUCCCUAAAUGGUGAAUAGGGAGCUCUUUUUCAAACACCCUGUAUUAUCUUUGCCUCAGUCUUCUCCCAAACUUCACCCAACUUGGGGAUAAUGCAGCCAAUGAUGAAGUAGGAAAAAUACAGCACAGAAUAGGUAAAGGGACAGUAUAGGCAUAUCUGGAAUCUUGUGUCCUGUUCUGGACAAAAUUCAAGGAUAUUGACAAGCUGGAAAUUGUCCAAAGUCAACCAAAAUGAUAAAAGAUCAGGAAACUAAGCCUUAUGAGGAAUGACUUAGGUAGCUGGAUGUGGUUAGCUUGGAGAAAAGAAGGCUGAGAGGGGACAUGACAACCAUGUUUAAAUAUGUGAAAGGAUUGAGGAAGGGACAAGCGUACUUGUGCUGGUUUAGAGACUAAGGGCCAUCCACAUUGUGGCAAAUCCAUGGGCUCCUGGUUGUGGGGGGGGGGGCAUUGAGAAGCCAUUGCUCUAUGUCCCACAUUGCGCAAAUUAGCUUGCCCCUCAUCCCAUGGAAGGAAAUGUCACCGUCUGGCUUCCCCCUCCCCCGCCCCCAUUGCUGGGAAGGCUCCUGUGUUGCUGCCAUGGCAGUGUGCACCGCUUCCUCUCCUCUUUCGGCAUGAAGCCCACUUGGAAUUGCCUGUACAUCAUCUAAUGGGCUCCAUGCUGAAAGUGGAGCGGAAGCAGCAUAUGAUAGGCAAAUCAGUCCAUGUAAUGAGGUGUUUUUACAUGGAGUAAUUAAUUCAAUUUGCAGGAGAAGAGAUUCCACCUAAACAACAGUAAGAGCUGUUUGGCAGUGGAAUAUGUUGCCUUGAAGCAAGAUAGACUCUUCUUUUUUGAAGAUGUUUAAGCACAGGCUGCAUGGGCAUUUGUUGAGAGUGCUUUAGUUGAGUUUUUCCUGCAUGGCAGGGAGUUUGAGUGAAUGGCUCUUGUGGUCUCUUCCAAAUCUAUGAUUCUAUGGUUCUAUCUAAUAAAAUGAAUAUUAAUGAUUUGUAAGGAUGAAAUGAUAAUCUAGCAGGUUUGAUUUCCAAUAAAAGUAUUAAAAUUCCACAUGUGUAACCAAAUUACACUAUAUUAAUCUUCUGUCUAAUUUCAAGGUGCAGUGAAUGAACAUAUAAACUCUUGCAUGAGCCACAUGUAGAAAACGGAGAUUAAUUAAUGAAUAGGGAUGUUUGUUGAGUGGCAUAUUUUACUGAAAGUAAAAAAGCAACAAAGGCAUCUAAAUGCAAAUUUCACUGAAAGCAGCUGGUCCCAUAUGCAUUUAGAUAUUUCUGAAAGCUCAUUCAGUUAGUAUUACAAUUCCAUAAACCGGCCAUUCUAGAUAAAAUAAGGACUUUUGAUGUAAAUCUCAGAUAACUGAGUAGUUAAGGGGGAACUGCAAAGAAAGGAGAAGGGUACCUACAUGUUGCAAAGAAAACAUUAUUAAAGUUUUGCUGAUGUUCAUGUGAUAAGGUGGAAAGAAAGUAUAAAAAUGAUAUAUGGGACAGUUAAACUGUCCUCUAGAGUUUGGCAAAGAUUCUUCUUCAGACUACAGUUGCCUUCAGGCAGUAUGACCACAAGUCAUGCUACCCAGAGGACUCUAAGAUCAAUAGUUAUACAAAAUUUCCCAAGCUCUGAUACUAAUGCAUCAUAACAAUCACUUUAAAAAUGGCAGCAGCAACAACAAAGGCAUUGUUACUCACAUGUUUAUUUUUCCAUUACCACAAUAGGGAGAUCCAUGGAUAUGGAGCAAAGGUGGGGAGGCUUCUCCUACAGUGGCUCCUGCUACAGCUUGUACCUGAUAUUGAUAUAGCUGGCCAACUAUGACUUCCCUAGAGAAACAAGCAGAAUCAGACCUUAAGAUAGAGCAAAGAGUGUGCAGCAAAAAGGCAUUUUCUGCCUCCAACAAUGUUAAAAAAGAAGCUAGAAGCUCAAAAGCUCAGAGAACGUUCUCUAGGGCUUUCCACUUGACCUUACAUAUGGCCCCAGCUUCUAAGCACUUCACCUUAAGGACUCACUAGGGGCUAUGUGAUAACACUAGAAAUUUAGGUUCUUAGAGCAGUUCCCUUUUAGGCUUCAGGUCUGUGGUUGCUGAUGUGCAUACUAAUAAACAGGCAGAUGGAUUAUGGCUGUGAAUCAAACUAAGCAUGAUAUGGACGUUCUGUGUUUGGGAUUCUUAAACCCCAUUUCUCUGAUCCAGAAUGGCUGUUUUUUCCCACAAAGAUGAAGAUAUUAGACUCUCUAAACCAGUGGAGCUUAACCUGUGGGUCCCCAGAUGUUUUGGCCUUCAACUCUCAGAAAUCUAACAGCUAGUAAACUGCUGUGAUUUCUGGGAGUUGUAGGACAGAACACAUAGGGACCCACAGAUUGAGAACCACUGCUCUAAACAGAGCUUACAUUGUGCCCAGUGUGACCCAGGAGAAGAUGAAAGAUAUCAUUCCCCCAUUUAUCUGUAUUCUCUAUAAUAAAAAUGCAAACAUGUUUGUUUA